GAUGAAGAACGCAUCGAAAUGCGAUAAGUAAUGUGAAUUGCAGAAUUCAGUGAAUCAUCGAAUCUUUGAACGCACAUUGCGCCCGUCAGUAUUCUGGUGGGCAUGCCUGUUCGAGCGUCAUUACGCCCCUCAAGUCCCCUGUGGACUUGGUGUUGGGGAUCGGCGAGGCUGGUUUUCCAGCACAGCCGUCCCUUAAAUUAAUUGGCGGUCUCGCCGUGGCCCUCCUCUGCGCAGUAGUAAAACACUCGCAACAGGAGCCCGGCGCGGUCCACUGCCGUAAAACCCCCCAACUUUUUAUAGUUGACCUCGAAUCAGGUAGGACUACCCGCUGAACUUAAGCAUAUCAAUAAGCGGAGGA
rnacentral:misc_RNA from 1 species